rnacentral:rRNA from 1 species
GUGGGGAAUAUUGGGCAAUGGGCGAAAGCCUGACCCAGCAACGCCGCGUGAAGGAAGAAGGUCUUCGGAUCGUAAACUUCUAUCCUUGGUGAAGAUAAUGACGGUAGCCGAGAAGGAAGCCCCGGCUAACUACGUGCCAGCAGCCGCGGAAAUACGUAGGGGGCAAGCGUUGUCCGGAAUGAUUGGGCGUAAAGGGCGCGUAGGCGGCCUGGUAAGUCUGGAGUGAAAGUCCUGCUUUUAAGGUGGGAAUUGCUUUGGAUACUGUCGGGCUUGAGUGCAGGAGAGGUAAGUGGAAUUCCCGGUGUAGCGGUGAAAUGCAUAGAGAUCGGGAGGAACACCAGUGGCGAAGGCGACUUACUGGACUGUAACUGACGCUGAGGCGCGAAAGUGUGGGGAGCAAACAGGAUUAGAAACCCCUGUAGUCC